CAGUCGCCGCGGUAAUACGUAGGUGGCAAGCGUUGUCCGGAAUUAUUGGGCGUAAAGGGCUCGCAGGCGGUUUCUUAAGUCUGAUGUGAAAGCCCCCGGCUCAACCGGGGAGGGUCAUUGGAAACUGGGAAACUUGAGUGCAGAAGAGGAGAGUGGAAUUCCACGUGUAGCGGUGAAAUGCGUAGAGAUGUGGAUGAACACCAGUGGCGAAGGCGACUCUCUGGUCUGUAACUGACGCUGAGGAGCGAAAGCGUGGGGAGCGAACAGGAUUAGAUACCCGGGUAGUCCCUGUCUCUUAUAU
rnacentral:rRNA from 1 species